UUACUCAUAUAGUGCGAGAAUUUCAAGAAAACCGAAGUUUUAUCUUCUUCCUCAGCAAGCAGCUGCAUGCUCAAUUCACCAUUGUCGAAGGCAGAAGCUUGAGAUGCCUCCUACGCCGCUCCUCCACCGGUCACCACCUCCGCCGCCGUGCCUCGUUGCUUCCAACACUUGGCUAAAUUUGCUAUCUUUGGAAUGCCCCAACACUUGCUUGCCCUACUCUGCUGAAUUAGUCUCAGGAAUUCCGUUAAAGAGUAAUGGGUUUCGAUGUUUUUCUCUCCCCCCUUUAUCCAAGCCAACAGGGUUUGGGAGAGCAAGCGAGCGAGAGAGAAUGGGUUCUGAAAGCAAGGAUCCGAGGGAGGAGGUUAUUCAGGCAUGGUACAUGGAUGACAGUGAUGCAGACCAGAGGCUUCCCCAUCACAGAGAUCCACAGGAAUUUGUGUCAUUUGAGAAACUUGAUGAGCUAGGAGUGCUUAGCUGGAGGCUCGAUGCUGAUAAUUAUGAAACUGACCCAAAGUUGAAGAAAAUUCGUGAAGACCGUGGAUAUUCUUAUAUGGAUUUUUGUGAGGUUUGCCCAGAAAAGCUGCCAAAUUAUGAAGAGAAAAUCAAGAACUUUUAUGAAGAACAUCUCCACACUGAUGAGGAGAUCCGCUAUUGUGUUGCUGGAAGCGGUUAUUUUGAUGUGCGCGAUCGCGAUGAAGCUUGGAUACGCAUCUGGGUAAAGAAGGGGGCAAUGAUUGUCCUUCCAGCUGGAAUUUAUCACCGCUUUACUCUUGAUUCAGACAAUUACAUCAAGGCAAUGAGGCUAUUUGUUGGUGACCCUGUAUGGACUCCUUUCAAUCGCCCUCACGAUCAUCUCCCUGCAAGGAAAGAAUAUGUUGAUAACUUUGUGAACAAGGCGGGCGGUGGUCCAGCCGUUGAUGCUGCAGCAGCUUAAAACCUCUCUCCCCAAACUGUCUGAAUCUUUGAGAAUGUGUGGUUGCUCUGCCAUCGCUUUUGUGUGAUAUAAAUGAGCUUGAAAUAAUGGGGUAUGUAUUCUGAGUGCAAAGGGGGGCGGUAGAUUCAGAGGACGCUGUCGUUUCACAUCAGCCAAAGUUGGAGCUAUGCGAUAUGGAGGUGUUUUGAUCUACAAUGUGGAUGGGCCGGCCAGGUUUCGUGAUAUAUGGUCUUUGCAGACAACGAUAAAGAAAAUCCUCGUGUCAGCCGGGAAAAUUUGAGGCUUGAGCCUUUGGAUGAUGAGUUGCUUGGAUACUUUGCUGAAAGAAUGAUAUCAAAGGAAACACUGCAGAGGAAUAAUGUCAUGCAAGUUGUUGGUGGAAAGAAAAUCAUUGCUUUUCCUUACAUACGAAAUGGACAGCAUGUUGGCUGCAAAUACCGGACACUUCAAUGCGCUGACUUCUUUUGCUUUCGCGCAUGAAUGGUAAAUUGUUAGUUAUAAUACUUUUUGAUAUUUGCCAUGAAUUUUCAGGGGAGAAAUACGGAGGAGAUGUUAUAUGGGAUCGAUGACACGCAGGUUGAAGGCGAAAUAGACAAGCUAUAAAUCGAAGAAGCUGGUUAUUGCAACUGUGUCAGUGUCCCUAGCGGUGCACCACAGACAGUUUCAGUCAAUCGAAUACCAUCAAAAGAAAAAGGACACUGCCUUUCAAUACUUGUGGAACUGCACAGAUCUAUUUUGAAAAGGUUUUGAAAUAAAAAGAAAAUGCUUUUGGAUGUCUAUGCCAUUGAGAGAUUUUUAAAUGGGAAUCAUAUUGUCAUUUCUUUAAAAAUUUGAUGUGUGUAUAUAUGAAAUUGCUAUACUGUAUUAAUAUAAGAAUACCAAUCGUGACCGCUGCUGUCAUUUAAUCCAAGUUGUCAUUAUUUAGUUUGUUUAUAAAUA